AGACGGAGGGGGCUAGCGUUGUUCGGAAUUACUGGGCGUAAAGCGCGCGUAGGCGGAUUGAUCAGUCAGAGGUGAAAUCCCAGGGCUCAACCCUGGAACUGCCUUUGAUACUGUCAGUCUUGAGUUCGAGAGAGGUGAGUGGAAUUCCGAGUGUAGAGGUGAAAUUCGUAGAUAUUCGGAGGAACACCAGUGGCGAAGGCGGCUCACUGGCUCGAUACUGACGCUGAGGUGCGAAAGCGUGGGGAGCAAACAGGAUUAGAUACCCUAGUAGUCC
rnacentral:rRNA from 1 species